GAAAGAAUCCUGGAAGCAACCAAAUAUAUGAAAGUACAACGAAGCAGAUCCUGUAAAGGGAAAGUAAAAGAUGAUAACAUUGACAGAAUUAAGCAUUCCAAAUAUGCUCGUAGUGUUAAGGUAGGUGCUGUUAUUUUAACUGUUAACGUAAGCAAUAUAGGACUACUAUGUUGAAUUAAAUAUCUGUUUUUGAAAAGGCAAGGAAAACUCUCAGUUUCUGAGUCAGUUUCUCCAUGAAUGCUAUACACCACACCUUGUGAUACCAAUAAACACAAAUCUUUCCAAUGUUUGACCAGAGUCAACCCAGCUGCCAUCAAUUAAGUGGUUAAUUAGGUCCUGAUCUUUGAGGUCUGCACCUGUGUUUAGUGCAAGCUUUUGAGUUCCCCAGGGCUCUUCAUCUGGGUAAAUGGUGAACAGAGCAAGCGAGGGAGGAGAGGAAGAAAGUUUGCUGAGUUGAAGCCACAGAAUCUUCAUCAUUUAGGAGACCUAAGAUGGAAACAGCAAGAAGGGACCAGCACUCCUUGCUCUAACCCAGGAGGCAAGUCUGUGAUCUAUGUUUAUCACUAAUCUAGACCACAUUUCUGCACUGAAGAUGACGAUGUUGAUGCAGUAUCUACUGAUUUCCCCCAGAAACUGUAAAUCUGGAGUCAAUGAGGAAGGAACUUGCCUGCAUGAGAAGCAUUGGUCAACAACUCUCUGGAAGUAUCCUUGGGAACCAAAGAGCAAAUACAAGAAAGAGAGAGGAUUUUCCAGACACCUGCCAGGCUUCUGACAGACCACAUGAUCAUUUCAGAGCCGAGAUGGAGUGGGGGAGGAUGUGGAUCAUGUGUGCUGGAGACAACAUCCUAUGUGUUCGGAAAGGAAAUCGAACUUUAGCAGAGGAGCCACUGUGCCGGAUGUUUUUGAGAAGUUUAAUCAAAAUUCUCAUCAGAAACCAAAUGAGAGGGUUCUUCAGAAAGAACAACCACCCAGUGUGAUUUACUUCAUCAGAUUAAGCGACUGAGGCCACAUCAGUCCAUUCAUGCUGUGUUGGUUGGGCUGCAAGUUCACCAGGCUACUGAUGGGCCCGUUUCCUGCUUCUCCAUUCAGGUUGACUGCAGUGACGUUGGGAGGAGUAAUUGCUGCCGCCGC